UACACCAACUCUCAGCACCUGCGUGACCCUGUGGCAAGGAGAUAAAUGGCUCAGAUGUGAAGAGCCAUCUCUAUGUGAUCCCCCGACAUCAGCCUUCUCUGCACCUUCCCCAGGCAUCCCAAGAGCUUCCUGGCAAUGCCGUGGCUGUUUCAAGCCAGGUUUGUGUCUGCAAUAGACCUGGCAAUACAGGCAGAAAGCAUCUCCAUCACAAAAGUGGCCAGGGGUAUCUGAGCACAGGAAUUCAGCGGAGCCACAAGAAGGCUGAGAGAACAAAAACCCCGGGAUUUCAGCAAGGGCCCUCGCUUCCGUGAGCUCUCUGCCAGGCUUGGAAAUGCACCAGCUGUGAUGAAGAACCCAUGGAAGAGAGAGCAGGAGCUGGACAGGGGUUCCCAGCCUCAGUGUGGGACCAGGCACCAUGGAUGAGCGAUGAAAUGAGGCAGGACUGACAAGAAGACAGAGGGAGAGCAAGAGGACACUGCAAGCAGGUCAUAGCAGCUGCGGGGAUGGGAAGAAGAAGGUGUCAGUGAUUUGGUGAAGUGGAGCUUGGCUGUGGCUGUUGAGCCAGUGCAAAAUUUCCCAAGCUGUGAUGGAGACCAACAGCAUGGUUCACAGCUCUCCAAGCCUUAGACCUUCCCUUCAAACAGAAGGGAAGGUACAGGGGUGAAAGGACUCAUGGAAACAUUACUAAGUCUGCAGAGAGUAGCAAUUGACCAUAAAUAAUUGCCAGCAAAUCCAUGAUAAUGAUGGCUGACCAUGCCAAGGAGAGAAGUUGGCUAGGCCCUGGAGAUUUCAUCUAGAUAGAUUAAUCAGGUUUGGCUUCCUCUUUUUGCUUUCCCCCUCCGUGUUUAAGGAAGAUGAAACAAAAUGAUUAGAGACACAGAAAGGAAGUAAUACGAUAACAUUAAAUGGAGACUAUUCUUAAGAAAUAGAAGAAAGAAAAAAAUAAUAAUAAAAAACAAAGACAAGAGUAUGUCCUGGUCAACAUAAAUCCAUGAGCAUCUCCUGGAGAAGCUGGCUCUUCUACAAGGUGUGCUGCGCCAUUAAGAAGAGGUAAUGGCUACUUCUAUUGUAGUAAAUAAAAUAGGAUGAAGAAUGGGUUCAAAAACUGCCAAAUGGCCAUCAGAAUGGUUUCAUCUCCUCAUGAGGUUUUGGUCUGGUUUGUGUCAAUGAAUGGUCCCUAACAAAGCCUGGGAAUGCUGCAAGGGUACAUGCCAGGUUUUCCCCAGUUUUCUAAACUACUGCCUGGCUUUCCCUUUCUCCCUCCAAAGGGAAAAGCUUUGCAGUGCCAUUCCUCAUCUGACACUUGUCAUCAGGGUUUGACUUUGAGCGGUGAGUCUUCGGUUAACCUGCAAGAUGCAGAAUGAUUCCUGGUGCAAUCAGCCCGUGGCUGCUUCCUGAGUGUAUUUAUUAUACAUUAUUAUUAUUAUUAUUAUUUAUUUCCUUCUGUGCUGGAUUUUGCAGAAGGGAAACCUGGGCAUGGAAACCAGAAAGGAGCUGUGCUGGGCUAUCACAGGCGAGACCUCAGUGCCCAGCCCAACAUGGGCACGGACCUGACACUUAAUGGAGACUGUCUGAUGAGACGGUGCUGUUAUGCUCCAGGGGACCACUGCUGUGGGAUCAAAACCUCACAUUGCAAUGAUGCUGCCAGAACACUGCAUUGAUCCUCUGGUUUUAUUUGGGUGCAGAGUAGAAAAUGGCUUUCCUGAUGUCUCAGGCUAGGGGAAAACCAAGAGCAACAGCUAGAAAUCUGCACCCUAGCACAUGAAUCUGGGGCUGAGGAAGCUCCUCCAGAGGGCAAGGUAUAUCAGGGACUUCCAGGGGAAAGGGACUGGAGCUAUCAGCAAUCCCAUUUCGAUAGGCUCUCUGGUGAACUUGGCCCCUGCAGUUUCAGCUCAUGAGAUCAUCCACUUCCCGAAGGUUAGGUUGGAACAACAUUUCACCACUGAUGGAAACCUCAAAGCAAAGCAAACCCACUGAAGCCAUAAUUAUGUCUUUAUUGUCCAGGGCCAAGCUGUGUGCGGCCUGGCAGCGUGCCUUUCAUUCUGCAGAGACGAUUACAUUUAUACUACAUUACACAUUGUGGGUUGGGGUUGGUAGUGCCG